rnacentral:rRNA from 1 species
CCCUUAGAUGUUCUGGGCCGCACGCGCGCUACACUGACGCAGUCAGCGAGCAUGUCCUACGCCGACAGGUGCGGGGAAUCUUGUCAAACUUCGUCGUGAUGGGGAUUGAUUAUUGAAAUUCUUGAUCAUCAACGAGGAAUUCCUAGUAAGCGCAAGUCAGCAGCUUGCGUUGAUUACGUCCCUGCCCUUUGUACACACCGCCCGUCGCUACUACCGAUUGAAUGGUCCGGUGAGGCUUUGGGAUCUGAGCGGAAAGAGCGUUUCGCUGUUUCUGCUCGGAAAACUCAGUCGAACCUUAUCAUUUAGAGGAAGGAGAAGUCGUAACA